GGUCGCGCAGGCGCAGAGGCGAUGGGAAGAGGCGGCGGCGGCGGGACGCCGCGCACGAGCGGGGGGCUCCUUCAGCUGCAUCACAGAGCUUUCGCGCUCUAUUCCCAGACUUCUAUGGGGCUGACACGUCAAAUACCCGAGAGAAACCAGUCAGCCCUUCCAAUGCUUACCAAACCCGAAAGCGGGAGGAGUACGCAUGUAAUGGCGCAGCCCUUGACCAGUUUUCCAAUGGAGACUAAUGGAUAAAGUGCACCCGAUUCUGCAUCGCAGGUGGACAGUUCUGAAAUGUAUUCUACCAGGCUUUUUAGAGGAAUUCAGCCCAACUACUUACCGCAAUAUUCCUGUGAUAAUAUAUCCUAGGAUUCUCCUCCCCUUCUCUUCACAGCUUUCCACUCCUCUUCUUUGGAGAAACUUGCUAAUAAACACUUUACCAGCUUUUGUCUCCAGCUCUGCUUUUGCAGAGGACCCAGGCUGAAACAAAUUGAAAUAUGUUGAAAUGUGUACAUUCUUAUUGGAUGUCUU